rnacentral:lncRNA from 1 species
AUUAUUGUAGAUAAGAGUAGUCGACAUGGUUGCAACAAAAGGAAUGAUAAGCGAGCAAGAAACCCUAGUGGGCGUCCUCCUCCUCGCAGUGCUUGGUGUACUUGGCCGAGUCCAGCAGGCCCUCCAGCUCCGCGGGGCUGCUCGGCUUCACCUUGAUCAUCCACCCCUCCUCGUACGGGCUCGAGUUGAUCUGCCAACCACGGCGCAAUCGCAACAGCAAAGAAGUUCAUUAGGAUCACUACAUGGAGGAGGUGAAAGGAUUUCUAACCGACGGAGGCGAGGCGUUUUGCGCGCAUACCAGGCCGGGGGCCUCGGACAGCUUCGAGUUGACCUCGACGACCUCGCCGGAGAUGGGCGAGUUGACGUCGCUGGUGGCCUUCACACUCUCCACGUUGCCGAAGGCUCCGCCCUGGCUCACCUUCGUGCCGGCCUCCGGCAGCUCCACGAACACCACCUCCCCG